rnacentral:rRNA from 1 species
UGCAAGUCGAACGGUGAUGGCCAGCUUGCUGGUCUGAUCAGUGGCGAACGGGUGAGUAACACGUGAGCAACCUGCCCUUCACUCUGGGAUAACCACGGGAAACGGUGGCUAAUACCGGAUAUGAGACGUACACGCAUGUGUCGCGUCUGGAAAGAUUUAUCGGUGAAGGAUGGGCUCGCGGCCUAUCAGCUUGUUGGUGGGGUAGUGGCCCACCAAGGCGACGACGGGUAGCCGGCCUGAGAGGGCGACCGGCCACACUGGGACUGAGACACGGCCCAGACUCCUACGGGAGGCAGCAGUGGGGAAUAUUGCACAAUGGGCGCAAGCCUGAUGCAGCGACGCCGCGUGAGGGAUGACGGCCUUCGGGUUGUAAACCUCUUUCAGCAGGGAAGAAGCGCAAGUGACGGUACCUGCAGAAGAAGCGCCGGCUAACUACGUGCCAGCAGCCGCGGUAAUACGUAGGGCGCAAGCGUUGUCCGGAAUUAUUGGGCGUAAAGAGCUCGUAGGCGGUUUGUCGCGUCUGCUGUGAAAACCUAAGGCUCAACCUUGGGCUUGCAGUGGGUACGGGCAGACUAGAGUGCGGUAGGGGUGACUGGAAUUCCUGGUGUAGCGGUGGAAUGCGCAGAUAUCAGGAGGAACACCGAUGGCGAAGGCAGGUCACUGGGCCGCAACUGACGCUGAGGAGCGAAAGCAUGGGGAGCGAACAGGAUUAGAUACCCUGGUAGUCCAUGCCGUAAACGUUGGGCACUAGGUGUGGGGCUCAUUCCACGAGUUCCGUGCCGCAGCAAACGCAUUAAGUGCCCCGCCUGGGGAGUACGGCCGCAAGGCUAAAACUCAAAGAAAUUGACGGGGGCCCGCACAAGCGGCGGAGCAUGCGGAUUAAUUCGAUGCAACGCGAAGAACCUUACCAAGGCUUGACAUACACCGGAAAAGUGCAGAGAUGUGCUCCCCGCAAGGUCGGUGUACAGGUGGUGCAUGGUUGUCGUCAGCUCGUGUCGUGAGAUGUUGGGGUUAAGUCCCGCAACGAGCGCAACCCUCGUCCCAUGUUGCCAGCGGGUUAUGCCGGGGAC